GGGCGUAAAGAGCUCGUAGGCGGUUUGCCGCGUCUGCUGUGAAAGCCCGGGGCUUAACUCCGGGUGUGCAGUGGGUACGGGCAGACUGGAGUGCAGUAGGGGAGACUGGAAUUCCUGGUGUAGCGGUGAAAUGCGCAGAUAUCAGGAGGAACACCGAUGGCGAAGGCAGGUCUCUGGGCUGUUACUGACGCUGAGGAGCGAAAGCAUGGGGAGCGAACAGGAUUAGAUACCCUGGUAGUCCAUGCCGUAAACGUUGGGCACUAGGUGUGGGGGACAUUCCACGUUUUCCGCGCCGUAGCUAACGCAUUAAGUGCCCCGCCUGGGGAGUACGGCCGCAAGGCUAAAACUCAAAGGAAUUGACGGGGGCCCGCACAAGCGGCGGAGCAUGCGGAUUAAUUCGAUGCAACGCGAAGAACCUUACCAAGGCUUGACAUCAACCGGACCGGGCCAGAGAUGGUCUUUCCCUUCGGGGCUGGUUGACAGGUGGUGCAUGGUUGUCGUCAGCUCGUGUCGUGAGAUGUUGGGUUAAGUCCCGCAACGAGCGCAACCCUUGUCCUAUGUUGCCAGCACGUAGUGGUGGGGACUCAUGGGAGACUGCCGGGGUCAACUCGGAGGAAGGUGGGGAUGACGUCAAAUCAUCAUGCCCCUUAUGUCUUGGGCUUCACGCAUGCUACAAUGGCCGGUACAGUGGGUUGCGAUGCCGUGAGGUGGAGCUAAUCCCUAAAAGCCGGUCUCAGUUCGGAUCGAAGUCUA
rnacentral:rRNA from 1 species